CUUUCCAAGCCACAUGAUGACUUUGGUGGGUUGCUUCAAGAUGGGUAGAACAGGAGGCUUGAGAAAGAAGCUCCAGCUGGAAGCUGGGCAUGGUACCAUGGCGCAAAACCCUCUUUCUGUGUCCUUGUCUCGUUGUGAUCUCAAAGGCCCUGAAGCUGUACCUGCAGAGAGCACUGCAUGAAGCUUGCAGAGUUAAGUUGUGGUUCCUGUCCAACCCAGAAGAAGAGCUACAUUUGGUGGCCCUGCAUCUCAUGUAGCCCCUGUGCAGCUGCUGGCCUGUUGUCCAGGACAAGGAACUGCCAUGUGGUACAUUCCUAACGACAGAUUUGAGAAACAGCGACAGCUGAACACCUGCAUUCUUCUCAGCCUUUGCACCUUACUGCCUCAGUUUCCCUACUGAUAAUUAAAGCACAUUUAUAUCAGGAACUGUUUUUCUAACUAGGAAAAUUAUCUCAGCAUUUGAUAUUGAUUUUCUUUUACUGAAAGAUAGCUGUGAUCUUCACAUUUUGGAUUCCAUAGCAGAGAAAGUGCUGGUGGAAGAUACUGGCCUGUAAGCACCUACCACUGGUCCUCCAUCUGUGGGGCUGUGGGCAUUGCUAGUUCAAACAGUCAGUUCAUCUGGAGGAAAAAUAUUUAACUUGGGGUAUAUGGGGCUUCAGAGGCAGAAGGGCACACCCUAAGAAAGUGCCCUGCUGGUCAUUUAAUCCCUGCUUUCUUCACUAUGUGGUGCACAUUGGCUGGCUCAGGAGGUGUGCCCUGCUCCUCCAGUGCUGUGAUGUGACCAGCAACCCCCAGAGAUCGGUGGCUCUGCAGCUGCAUGUCCUGCCUUCUGAACUCUGAGUCCUGGGAGGGAACUGGAAGAGCCCCCCGGUUUUAACUGCACCAGCCACCCCUACCUACCUUAAAGCCCCAAACCACGAGGGGCAGUUGGUUACACAGCAUGGUAGGGUGCAAGCUAUUAGCCCCAAGUGUUUCCAGAUUCCAUUUGGUGCACAGCACAAGCCCUUUCCAACACAAUAUCUGAACUGAAGCUCAUCAGCAGUGCCCAGGUUCAGAUCCUGACCCAGCCUGCACUGCAGCCCCUCUGCUGAACUAACCUGAGAUGAAAGGCGUCAAAUGACAGGAUAGAGAGUGCUGAGAGCUGGCAGCGGAGGUUUCUUCUGCAGACAUCUUGCUGGUUGUUUUAAGGUCUUCUGCCUCUAAGUGGCACCAUGCUGAGUGAUUGAACACUUGCUAGAAUCUGUUCUACCUUUUAUUGCAAUGAUUUAUUACAGAGCUCCCAGUUUCCAAACUCUGAACUUUCACAAACGCUGGCUGGAUGUCAGAGCCCUUUUGUCAGAAACACCAGAGCCUUCUGGAGUGAUGGUCCCGGUACUACAAAACCCCUUUGGAAAGCCACAGCUCUCGAACCAGCAUGGGGAAAGACUGAACUUUCAUUUUUAGAGAAGGCUCUCACAUCCCCAGGAUCUGCAUCUGAGAGGUACUCAAAACACAGCCAAGAGAAGCUUUAUUUGCUGUAAAUUUCCAGAGGAUUACACUGAAUCAUAGUCUUGCAUAGUCCAGUUUACAGAUUUGUAUGUACUUAAUAUAAUUAGGCUCAGAUUAUCUUUAUGUAGCUUCUGCUCAGAGAGCAGGAAGUAAUUUGGAAGGGGGACAGAGGGUGUCCCAGAAUGGAUGGGUCCAGUCUACGUCCACUACGAGACAGACAGACACACACACACUUGUUCUGAACAUCCUGAAACUGCUUAAGCGAAGCGCUCCCCCCAGACCAGCUAUGCAGUACUGGCAAUGUUGUGCUGCUUAAAACAGAAGGAAUUGAUUUCUCUGUGCUCACAACACAAUAGCAUUCAGAUAUUCAAGCACCUAUUAUGAAAUCUGACUUUCCUUUAGUACUUAGAAGUCCUCGCAUAUUUUGUGGCAUUUAGGGCUGCCUUACUCUGCCUGAAAAUACAGUGAGGUUUUCCUGUCCCUACAUAAUGAAACAAAAUCCACACCCCAAACUCCUACAGCUCAAAACAACCAACCAGUGCAGCUCAGGAAAACUAUGGAUACUUUCGGAGAGGUAAAGAAAUGUACAUCAUGAGAAAAGUUUUCCUGUAUUUGAGAGAAGGUUGUCAAGAUGGUAAUAUAGUACAGUGUGUAGUGAGGACUGGGAGAUUUAUGUGCCGAUUCUGUGUAUGAUUUAUUUUGAUGAAUUGUUUUUUAUCAAUAUGUAAAAAUCCAAUAAAUAUAACUCCCUUUACAAAGGGUUGCUCCAGUCCCAGUGUUUCAGUGGACAGUUUUGGCAGAAAGUCAGGAUGUGCAUUAAAAACACACUUUUUGAGAAGUCUAAUAAAUAAAAGCUCUGAAAUAUGGUUUCCUACUGAGAAAGGCAUUUUAAAUCAUUUUGAUAAAGAACCUAAAUUAGGCCUUAAAAGGAGGGGGAAGCUAGGUCCCUGCAACUAAUUAUUUAUAGGUAUUUUGAAUAUAAAAGUCCAGGAAAGCCUGCCUCCAUCCCCCAUUCUCUGCCACAAUAAAGGGGAAAGAAAAAGCCAUUCCCCUUCCACCUCCCACCCAAAUUAUAAGGCAGAAGUGUUAGAAAGGGGCCAAAGAAAACAAAAUUAAAAUAGGGAACAGAGAACCGACAAAAACAAGGAACUUCAGAAGUCCUGGAAAAAAAAAAAACCUGCACACUUUCUCCCCAAAGCAGCGAUACCAGGAGGGGACAGGUCUUCCCUUCUCCUCCUCAUUACUCAAGAGCAGUGGGCUGCUACUCACCCCAGUCCUCUGAAGAGGGAAUAUACUGAUAUUUGCUAAGCACCACAGGGAAUGUUUUUAGAAGUGAAUAAACAUUUGAAUAGCCCCAUUCUCUCUGAAAGUCAAAGCAAUUUAGAGAUGGCAUAGAAGUCAAAACUGCUGGGGAUGUCGGCUUCUGAAUCACUUAAAUGCUUCUGGAUAUGUUAAUCCAAAAACGUAGCUGACGUUUGGCAUGUGUACAGCCACACAUGGGCCCUGCCUUCAGGGGAGUUACAGCACAGCGACCUGCUACCCCCUGCAGCAGAACCAGUGGGGCUGAAGAUGUGCUCUGUGCUUCAGUGGGAGAGUCUGUGGCUCCGCAGCAGCAAUUGGCAGCGCCCUGGUUUGGAUCUCAAGCCAAGCCCAGAAACUCAGGUGCAGUUCACAAAGCUCAAGGCUCUGAAUGGGAAGGCUGACAAAUGAGAGAUUAAUAAAUGGAAGCACAGUGUGUGUGCUGGAGAGAUUUCUGCUAUGGUGGUUGUGCCUACCAGGCUUCCUACUGAACUUACUGCUAUUCAUCUUACAGACAUCUAGAAUUUCCCUCCCUGUUCUCAGCUUCACCUUGUACUCCCUUCUGCCUCCAGGCACGAGCUGCUCUUGUCCCUGCACAAGGGCCAUUCAUUCUCUGCUCCAUCAGGAGCGCUUCCCUCUGAGUUUGGGUUCAUCCCUCUCCUUAAAUCUGACCUUCACAUCUUCCUUCUCAUUGCAGGGCUCAGUAAGGUGCACUACUGAAAGAGCCACUGCACUUGCUGAAGCAGGAGGCUGCUAGCACUAGGGAAGGAAAACACAAACCUCAGAAAAUUAAUAGAAGCAUUUAAGAGUUGGAAUUUAACAAUGUGGGUCUGCAUCUACCUUUGGCCUGCCUCUGUACUGUAGUUUCAUAGGGCACAAGAGCGCCCUUUUGUUGACUGGGGCCAGUUACAAGUCUUCUAGCACCCUCCAAAUGCAAGCAAGACGAGGCUGCCCAGACUUACAGACAGCUUGCAGCCCUGAUGUGUGCACAGCCUGAACUUGCAGACAGUGCCCUCUCAGGUCAGAAAGAGCAGAAAAGCUCAGCCACACAGCACCAGUGCAGCACUUAGCUCCAAAGCUGACACAAAUACAUGGCCAAGUUUUCAAAAUAACUGAGCAGUUUCAGGGCUUUGUUACCUGCAAACACAUCAGCGGGAACUGCAGGACUCAGUUCUGAAAACCUGGGCUGGGAUUACUCAAAAAACGGGCCAAGGGCUCCUCUGAAAAUAUCCUAAAUGACCAAAUGAGAAAGAGCAAUGGAUAGGAUGGCAGCACAAAACCAGAAGGUGCCAGCUGCAAUUGAAGACAAGAUUUUGUCCCCAGUUCACAGCAGCUCUGAGAUUUCUCUCAACCCACCAAAAAGGGAAAAGAGAA